rnacentral:rRNA from 1 species
UACGUAGGCAGCAAGCGUUGUUCGGAAUUACUGGGCGUAAAGAGUGUGUAGGCGGUGUUCUAAGUUCGGUGUGAAAUCUCCUGGCUCAACUGGGAGGGUGCGCCGAAAACUGGGAUGCUCGAGCGUGGGAGAGGAAAGCGGAAUUCCUGGUGUAGCGGUGAAAUGCGUAGAUAUCAGGAGGAACACCAGCGGUGUAGACGGCUUUCUGGACAGUAACUGACGCUGAGACACGAAAGCGUGGGUAGCAAACAGG